GUAGAUAUAGCUCAGAGGUAGAGUGUUAGAUUGUGGUUCUAAAUGUCACGGGUUCAAUCCCCGUUAUUUACC
rnacentral:tRNA from 1 species